rnacentral:lncRNA from 1 species
ACAUGAGCCUUGACUAUUAUGGAAUAAAACCAACACACUUUACCAGAUGUCUACCAAUAUUCUUGGAGGUUCUGUACACAUUCUAGAAUAACAUUUUUAAUAACUUUGAGAAGUAAAUAAAUAAUAAUCUAGUUUGACAUGUGUAAAGAAAAUUGCACACAGGUUGUAGAAACAGGCAGAAAAAGUUGGUUCAGUUCAGUUCAACCCAACCUUUGAUAGUUUGAAUCCCAAAUACGUGUUAGAUUUUUCCAACUUUUAAAUUUGCAAAAACAAUGCCAUAACACUUGGCUUUUCAUAAAAGAAAAACAAAAGAUUGUUUAAAAAUUCUCAAGAAUCACUUAAACUCGCCUGGGUGGGUAGUGUUUAUUGUGAACUGAAAAUAGCUUCUUGAUACAUGACUAGAAGAAUCACUACACAAGACCCCUCUGUUUAAACACCUCAAACAUUGCAGAUCCGAUCUUUGCCGGUGAUUCCACAACUGUCACGCCAGCUUCCUUUAGGGUCUUGAUUUUGUCUUGUGCCGUACCCUUUCCACCUGAUACUAUGGCUGCAGAAAUACCUCCAGCAUGACCCAUACGUCGACCAGGUGGAGCGGUAAGUCCAGCAAUAAAGCCAACAAUAGGCUUUUCUGUCCCACUUUCCUAUUUCCAUAUAGAUAAAUUGAAAUUAUUAAUAAUAUUUUCGUGUUAUAGGACCUUUCACCAGCCAAAAUCAGCACAAUAAUAAAAGAACAUCUAGCAUUAGAAAUUGGUAUUAAUGUAUUAUUUGCUGAAUAUCAGCAAGGAGGCCGGGUUUCUUAAAGACCACAAAAAGCUUAAAACUACAUUAUCACAAUUAACAAGUAAGAGUGCUGAACAAGUAAGAGGUCUGAAC